rnacentral:rRNA from 1 species
CCUACGGGAGGCAGCAGUGGGGAAUAUUGCACAAUGGGGGAAACCCUGAUGCAGCGACGCCGCGUGAGUGAAGAAGUAUUUCGGUAUGUAAAGCUCUAUCAGCAGGGAAGAAAUAAAGUCCUUUGGACUUUGGACGGUACCUGACUAAGAAGCCCCGGCUAACUACGUGCCAGCAGCCGCGGUAAUACGUAGGGGGGCAGGCGUUACCCGGAUUUACUGGGUGUAAAGGGGCCUUAGAGGGCAGCGUAAGGUUGGAGUGAAAUCCCAUGGUUUAACCAUGGAACUGCUUUGGAAACUGUGCAGCUAGAGUGCAGGAGAGGUAAGCGGAAUUCCUAGUGUAGCGGUGAAAUGCGUAGAUAUUAGGAGGAACACCAGUGGCGAAGGCGGCUUACUGGACUGUAACUGACGUUGAGGCUCGAAAGCGUGGGGAGCAAACAGGAUUAGAUACCCGGGUAGUC